rnacentral:rRNA from 1 species
CCCACAAGGGAAUUCAGCAGUAAUUAAUAUUGAAUAUAAGCGCCAGCUUGAUUCGGUUAAAGUAGAAAGGGCCGGCAAAUAUGGUGCCAGCCGCCGCGGUUACACCACAUGACCCAAAUUGAUCCCCUACGGCGUAAAGCGUGAUUAAAGUUAUUAAAUAUUGUAGUCAAACUAUUAAUGAACUGUAAUACGUUUUUAUUUAGGAAACUCAAAAACGAAAGUUACUACAUACAAAACAACUUGAAUUCACAAUAGUUAGGUCACAAACUAGGAUUAGAUACUCUACUAUGCCUAACUGUAAACUUUUAAUUUACACCAAAAUCGCCUGGGAACUACGAGCAAAGCUUAAAACCCAAAGGACUUGACGGUACCCCAUAUCCCCCUAGAGGAGCCUGUCCUUUAAUCGAUAUUCCCCGUUUAACCUCACCAUUUUUAGCCAAUCAGUCUGUAUACCUCCGUCGUCAGCUUACCACGUGAGUGACUUUAAGUAAGCUAAAUGUUUAUUUUACAUCAAUACGUCAGGUCAAGGUGCAACUAAUAAAAUGGAAAGAGAUGGGCUACACUCUCUAAUAUAGAACACACAAAAGACUAACUGAAAACUAGUUGUGAGGUGGAUUUAGAAGUAAAAAAAAACUAGAGAGUUUUUUUUAACACGGCACUGGGGUGUGUACACACCGCCCGUCACCCUCUUUGAUAGCC